rnacentral:rRNA from 1 species
CCUACGGGGGGCUGCAGUGAGGAAUAUUGGUCAAUGGGAGAGAUCCUGAACCAGCCAAGCCGCGUGAGGGAAGCCGGCCCAUUGGGUUGUAAACCUCUUUUGUCGGAGAACAAAACCCGGGACGCGUCCCGGGCUGCGUGUACCCGAAGAAAAAGCAUCGGCUAACUCCGUGCCAGCAGCCGCGGUAAUACGGAGGAUGCGAGCGUUAUCCGGAUUUAUUGGGUUUAAAGGGUGCGUAGGCGGUCUGUUAAGUCAGCGGGAAAAUUGCGGGGCUCAACCCCGUCGAGCCGUUGAAACUGGCAGACUUGAGUUGGCGAGAAGUACGCGGAAUGCGCGGUGUAGCGGUGAAAUGCAUAGAUAUCGCGCAGAACUCCGAUUGCGAAGGCAGCGUACCGGCGCCAGACUGACGCUGAGGCACGAAAGCGUGGGUAUCGAACAGGAUUAGAUACCCUUGUAGUC